UACGUAGGGGGCAAGCGUUGUCCGGAUUUAUUGGGCGUAAAGAGCGUGUAGGCGGCCAGAUAGGUCUGUUGUGAAAACUCGAGGCUCAACCUCGAGACGCCGAUGGAAACCAUUUGGCUAGAGUCCGGAAGGGGAGAGUGGAAUUCCUGGUGUAGCGGUGAAAUGCGCAGAUAUCAGGAGGAACACCAAUGGCGAAGGCAGCUCGCUGGGACGGUACUGACGCUGAGACGCGAAAGCGUGGGGAGCAAACAGG
rnacentral:rRNA from 1 species